CAUGCACUAAAAGAUAUUGCUACCUCUAUAUUACACCAGUUAGGUCAGCCUAUACCCAAAAAUGUCAGUUUACAUACUGUACUACUAUCACCAGUUGAUGGUAUAUUAAAUACACGAGUUACAAUGAAUGAUUUGAUAUGUAAAGGAACACGUCUUGCUAAUGAUUCUCUAGGGAGCAGUGGAGAAAUACCAAGACUUGGUUCCACUAUCAAAUAUAAUGUAAAGGGUUAUCUAGAUAAUGAACUAAAGUGGAAGUGGGUGUGUACAUUGGAAGAUACAUGUACAGGAUUGAAAACAGAAGGGCCUCCUAUGCAAAGUCAUGAUGAUGCAAUCAAACAUUGUCUUAAAAGGAUAUGAGCUGUUCUAACUCAGCAUUUCUAUUCCAUUUUGCAAAGGAUAUAAAUUCUUAAAAGCAA